AACCGCCGUGUAUGGAACCGUACGCACGGUGGUGUGAGAGGUCGAAAUUUCUGCGAAAGCAGAAAUUUCUCCUACUCGAU
rnacentral:ncRNA from 1 species